rnacentral:rRNA from 1 species
AUACCGCAURAAGUUGAGAGACCAAAGUACGGUUCCGCAAGGACGUGCGCCAUUUGAUGAACCCAUAUGGGAUUAGCUAGUUGGUGUGGUAAAGGCUCACCAAGGCGACGAUCUCUAGCUGGUCUGAGAGGAUGACCAGCCACACUGGAACUGAGACACGGUCCAGACUCCUACGGGAGGCAGCAGUGGGGAAUAUUGCACAAUGGGGGGAACCCUGAUGCAGCCAUGCCGCGUGUAUGAAGAAGGCCUUCGGGUUGUAAAGUACUUUCGGUAGUGAGGAAGUUGAGUGUAUGAAAAGUGCAUGCAAUUGACGUUAGCUACAGAAGAAGCACCGGCUAACUCCGUGCCAGCAGCCGCGGUAAUACGGAGGGUGCGAGCGUUAAUCGGAAUGACUGGGCGUAAAGGGCAUGUAGGCGGAUAAUUAAGUUAGGUGUGAAAGCCCCGGGCUCAACCUGGGAAUUGCACUUAAAACUGGUUAUCUGGAGUAUUGUAGAGGAAGGUAGAAUUCCACGUGUAGCGGUGAAAUGCGUAGAGAUGUGGAGGAAUACCGGUGGCGAAGGCGGCCUUCUGGACAGAUACUGACGCUGAGAUGCGAAAGCGUGGGGAGCAAACAGGAUUAGAUACCCUGGUAGUCCACGCUGUAAACGAUGUCGAUUUGGAGUUUGUUGCCUAGAGUGAUGGGCUCCGAAGCUAACGCGAUAAAUCGACCGCCUGGGGAGUACGGCCGCAAGGUUAAAACUCAAAUGAAUUGACGGGGGCCCGCACAAGCGGUGGAGCAUGUGGUUUAAUUCGAUGCAACGCGAAGAACCUUACCUGGUCUUGACAUCCACAGAAUCUGGCAGAGAUGCUGGAGUGCCUUCGGGAACUGUGAGACAGGUGCUGCAUGGCUGUCGUCAGCUCGUGUUGUGAAAUGUUGGGUUAAGUCCCGCAACGAGCGCAACCCUUAUCCUUUGUUGCCAUCGAUUAGGUCGGGAACUCAAAGGAGACUGCCGUUGAUAAAGCGGAGGAAGGUGGGGACGACGUCAAGUCAUCAUGGCCCUUACGACCAGGGCUACACACGUGCUACAAUGGCGUAUACAAAGGGAGGCGACCUCGCGAGAGCAAGCGGACCUCAGAAAGUACGUCUAAGUCCGGAUUGGAGUCUGCAACUCGACUCCAUGAAGUCGGAAUCGCUAGUAAUCGUGAAUCAGAAUGUCACGGUGAAUACGUUCCCGGGCCUUGUACACACCGCCCGUCACACCAUGGGAGUGGGU